rnacentral:rRNA from 1 species
AGAGUUUGAUCAUGGCUCAGGACGAACGCUGGCGGCGUGCCUAAUACAUGCAAGUCGAACGCUUCUUUCCUCCCGAGUGCUUGCACUCAAUUGGAAAGAGGAGUGGCGGACGGGUGAGUAACACGUGGGUAACCUACCCAUCAGAGGGGGAUAACACUUGGAAACAGGUGCUAAUACCGCAUAACAGUUUAUGCCGCAUGGCAUAAGAGUGAAAGGCGCUUUCGGGUGUCGCUGAUGGAUGGACCCGCGGUGCAUUAGCUAGUUGGUGAGGUAACGGCUCACCAAGGCCACGAUGCAUAGCCGACCUGAGAGGGUGAUCGGCCACACUGGGACUGAGACACGGCCCAGACUCCUACGGGAGGCAGCAGUAGGGAAUCUUCGGCAAUGGACGAAAGUCUGACCGAGCAACGCCGCGUGAGUGAAGAAGGUUUUCGGAUCGUAAAACUCUGUUGUUAGAGAAGAACAAGGACGUUAGUAACUGAACGUCCCCUGACGGUAUCUAACCAGAAAGCCACGGCUAACUACGUGCCAGCAGCCGCGGUAAUACGUAGGUGGCAAGCGUUGUCCGGAUUUAUUGGGCGUAAAGCGAGCGCAGGCGGUUUCUUAAGUCUGAUGUGAAAGCCCCCGGCUCAACCGGGGAGGGUCAUUGGAAACUGGGAGACUUGAGUGCAGAAGAGGAGAGUGGAAUUCCAUGUGUAGCGGUGAAAUGCGUAGAUAUAUGGAGGAACACCAGUGGCGAAGGCGGCUCUCUGGUCUGUAACUGACGCUGAGGCUCGAAAGCGUGGGGAGCAAACAGGAUUAGAUACCCUGGUAGUCCACGCCGUAAACGAUGAGUGCUAAGUGUUGGAGGGUUUCCGCCCUUCAGUGCUGCAGCAAACGCAUUAAGCACUCCGCCUGGGGAGUACGACCGCAAGGUUGAAACUCAAAGGAAUUGACGGGGGCCCGCACAAGCGGUGGAGCAUGUGGCUUAAUUCGAAGCAACGCGAAUAACCUUACCAGGUCUUGACAUCCUUUGACCACUCUAGAGAUAGAGCUUUCCCUUCGGGGACAAAGUGACAGGUGGUGCAUGGUUGUCGUCAGCUCGUGUCGUGAGAUGUUGGGUUAAGUCCCGCAACGAGCGCAACCCUUAUUGUUAGUUGCCAUCAUUUAGUUGGGCACUCUAGCGAGACUGCCGGUGACAAACCGGAGGAAGGUGGGGAUGACGUCAAAUCAUCAUGCCCCUUAUGACCUGGGCUACACACGUGCUACAAUGGGAAGUACAACGAGUCGCUAGACCGCGAGGUCAUGCAAAUCUCUUAAAGCUUCUCUCAGUUCGGAUUGCAGGCUGCAACUCGCCUGCAUGAAACCGGAAUCGCUAGUAAUCGCGGAUCAGCACGCCGCGGUGAAUACGUUCCCGGGCCUUGUA